GAGUAAAUAUGAUAUGUUAGACAGUAAAUAUGCACAGCUUGCAAGUGCAGUAUUUGAUCAGCCUUCAUCACCAUCUUCAAUUGAGCAAUAAAUUGAAUCAUUUAACAGAUCAAAUAUUUGUAGUCCGAAGAACCUACCCUUGAAGAAAGUUUAGAGCAAGUUGAAGUACAAGAGGUUUAUAUUUUGUUAGGGAUGGUUUAAAGACACUGUACAUAUGCUGCAAUUUUAUUUUUCUCUUCUUAGGAAUUAUUAAAAAUGAUGUCAUACGAUUUAGAUUGGUUUCUGGUAAAUAUGAUACUUUAGUUCUUUA